UUAAGUUCAGCGCGUAUUCCUACCUGAUCUGAGGUCAAUAGUUGAAAAUGUCAAGCAUGAAAAAUGCAAGACGGCUUUCGGUGCCGCGCAAAAUGACAGUCAAAACAACGAGUGGUGAAACCUAAUGCAUUGUCGACAGCCAAAGGCUGCACCAUUGUAAUUCGAGGAAGCAUCGCAAUGCAGACCUCAACGUCCAUCCA
rnacentral:misc_RNA from 1 species